GGCGUCGGAGCGACAGACGGAAGCAGCUUCCCGGCCUCGCGGGCGCUCCCGAGGGUCCCCAUCACUCAGACGCUCGGUGGCUCCGCCGGCCCUCGGCCGCGCAGCGGGCGUUCGGGCCCUCUGGGCCGGUCCUUGCGGGGCCAAGGAAAAUGCCACAGACCCUGUUAGAAGACCCAGCGGCAGUAGGGAGCAUGCCACAUCGUGCAAGUGGAAGAGCGACUCUUGGGAAAACGGAGUCAUCGGGCACAGUUGGAGCUUUACAGCGCUGGGAAUGCAGGCGGGCGUCAGGUCGCGGCAGGCCUUGUGCGGCGGUGGUGUUUCUGCCUUAACACGGAAGGCGAUAAGCUAGCAGAGAAUGUUAAUCAGGAGAGGGAACGCUGUGUUGCGUGGAUUGGAGGGAGUGAGAUGAGACGGGGAGAUCAGUGAGGAAGAUACCGCAUCGGAGAACUGGUGAAGGUGGAAGAUUAAUGGCAUCCUGUCAGGAUGAAAGGAGGGAAGAAAAGGAAGAUGGAGACUAGCUCCACUCUCAUGAGGAAGUGAGUUAGAUGGAACCACUCCUUACAGACUAUUUGUUGUUUUUUUAAUUUACUGUUGUUAGCCUAAAUUUUAAAAAAAGCUUUAAAAAUGCAUAAAAGAAAAUAUAAACACAUACACAAUUAAAAAAUGUUCAUAAAGCAGAUAUCCAUUUAACCACUACCCAAGGCCAACUAUAGCUACAUACAUCAAUCUCCAGUCAAAAGGACUUAAUGUCCCUUGGUGGUAACUAUGGUUCUAACUGGUACGAUAAUCGUUCCCUUGGUUUGCUUUAUACCAUCUGUGUGAUUACCUGUAAAUGACAUAGCUUAGUUUUAUCCAUUUUUGACCUUGAGAUAAACAAAAUCAUACUGUAUAUAUGUAUGUACUAUAUUUAUAUCUUGUUUCAUUAGGAGAAUAUUUUUGAAAUUCUCAGUUUCAAAUAGUUCAGUUGCAAUAGUUCAUUUACUUUCAUAGAUUUCUAUUUUGUGAAUAUGUCUCAUUUUGUUCUAGUGAAAAAAAUUAUGUUUCUAGGCAAUCUAUCAUCUGAAUUUUCAAAUUUAUUGGCAUACAAUUUGUAGUCUCAUUUUAUUGUUUAUUGGAUGUGUAGCAAUGAUCCUUUUUUCAUUCUUUAUAUUGAUUAUCUCUGCUUUAUCUAGUCCACCCAUCCCUCCCCCCCCAACCAUUUUCUUGGUCAGUCUCAUCAGUGGCUUAUCAAUUUUAAUAGUUUUAUCAAAUGGCUUUGUUGUUUUCUUGUACACAUAUUUUCUAUUUUAUUAGUGUUUAUCCUCCACUGUUGUGUUUAUUUUACUUUUUUCUGAUUAAUUUCAUCCUCUCUUCACUUCUAAUAUAUGCGUGUCAAGUUGUAGUUUAUCUUAAUCAUGUGCAGAUAUAUAUAUAUAUAUAUAUAUAUAUAUAUAUGUAAUUUUGGUAUAUAUUUUUGGCUACCAUUCAGUUUAAAAUAUGUUCUAAUUUCUUUUAUCAUGUUUUUUCUUGGACCGAGGGUUGAUUAGGAAUGUAUGUCUUAAUUUUAAUCUGUCUUUAAUUUUAAUGUAUAUGUGCGUUUUCAUAUUACCUAUUUGUUACUGAUUUCUGACACAAAAGAUACUGUGGUCGGGGAACAUAAACAAUAUGAUUUUAGUCAUUUGAAGUUUAUUGAGACUUGCUUUGUGCUAUGUGUUCAGUUUUGCUAAAUAUUCUAUAUAUAUUUGAAGAGAAUAUAUAUUUUUCAAUUAUUAGUUUCUUAGUAACUAAAGUUAAUGCAAGUUAUUUCCUUACUCCUGUUUGUUCUAUGAGUUUAUGAGAGGUGGAUUAAUUAACUUUUGUGAUUAUGGAUUUGCUAGUAUCUUUUCAAAUAUUUUCCCUACCUUCUCACCUUCCCUCACCCAAAUUCUUGACUGUUAAUUCCUUGAAGGCAGGCUCCAUGUCUUAAUCACUAUCUUAUUUUAGUGUCUGGCAUAUGAUUGGAAAAUAUAUAUUGAUUGCUUGAUAGGCAGCUGAUGAGGUGGGUGGAUGGGAAGGUGGGUAACUAAUUUGAAAAGACUAUUUAGUAAUCCACCUGAUUCUCUCCCCACAGUUUUUUCUUUGCUUAGAGAAAAAUUCCCAGUGUUGGCAAUAAAAUAUCCCUGCCCAAAA